rnacentral:rRNA from 1 species
CCUACGGGUGGCUGCAGUGGGGAAUAUUGCACAAUGGGGGAAACCCUGAUGCAGCAACGUCGCGUGAGCGAAGAAGGCUUUCGAGUCGUAAAGCUCUGUCCUAAGGGAAGAAACCUGACGGUACCUUAGGAGGAAGCCCCGGCUAACUACGUGCCAGCAGCCGCGGUAAUACGUAGGGGGCGAGCGUUAUCCGGAAUCACUGGGCGUAAAGGGUGCGUAGGCGGCUAAUCAAGCCAGGGGUGAAAGGCUACGGCUUAACCGUAGUAAGCCCUUGGAACUGAAUAGCUUGAGUGCAGGAGAGGAGAGUGGAAUUCCUAGUGUAGCGGUGAAAUGCGUAGAUAUUAGGAGGAACACCAGUGGCGAAGGCGACUCUCUGGACUGUAACUGACGCUGAGGCACGAAAGCGUGGGGAGCAAACAGGAUUAGAUACCCGAGUAGUC